CGGGGCCGGGCCCGGAAGCGGAAGAAACGGCCCCGGAGCCGAGUGGCGCGGAGAGGGGCUAGUGGUCGGCGCCGGAGGCCCCAGGAUGGGAGCUGGGGCGGGGCCCUGCGCGACUUGGUUCCACCCGCCCCAAAGAAACAGCUGACGGCACUGCCAGGCUGAAGGCCCUACGGCCGCCGAGGACCGGCUAGUCCACUCCUGCUGAGGGAUCUGGAUGGAGAGACAGGGAAGCAGCACAUGGCGGCCAAGAGGCACCGCAGAGAAGCAGGCUCAGAGAAUUUCUGGCUGGUUGCUCGACCCCAUCCAUCACCCUGCGCCCACAGAACAAGAAGGCACAUCUCUUCUCCAACGGAAAGACCUCAGGAACUGGGGUGGUGUGGCUCGGAGGCUCUUGAGACAUCGAGAAACCAGGGCUGGUGGGGAGGGUCGGGGCCGAGGCCUGCCCAUGUGGAAGGCAGGCCUCGGAAGCCUGCUGUCCAAGAAGGCGGGCACGACAGUCACGUGCUCCUUCUGUUUACGUUCA